CGCCCCUUCCCCACAGAAAACCCUGCCUUCCGCCCUGCACAGGAGGAGGGGCCGGGCGCAACAGGGAAGGCAGGGUGGGGAGGAAGAGGGCUGAGGCCUGAGGGAUUAUGUCCAUGCAGUCUGUGUGCGAAUGGCUCGUGCCCUUCUUCUCUCUCAUGUUAGUGAUCGGCAUUCUCGCUUACCAGCUUAUGUGCUUGGUGGACUUGGAAUUCGAUUAUAUGAACCCAUAUGAUUCAGCAUCUCGAGUCAAUAAGGUUGCUUUGUUUGAGAUUGCCCCUCAAGGAAUUUUGUGCCUUUUCUACCUUGCAACAAGACAUUGGUCCAUGUUAUUGAUGUCUCUUCCAUACCUAUACUACAAUGUGAGACUGUACAUGUCGAAAAAGCACUUGGUUGAUGUAACUGAAAUCUUCAACCAGUUGCCAUGGGAAAAAAAGCAACGACUUUAUAAACUUGGCUAUUGUAUUUUCCUCCUCUUCCUAUACUUAUUCUGGACGAUUUGGAGCGUUUUGGAUGACUAUGAGUAAUCAGCAUUGGUGCCUCUUCUAAUGUCAGUGUUCUUAUGGGAGGUGUGGAAUCGGAGAUGCUGAAAAUAUGGCCAGGAUUGGAAUUAUGCUUCUAUGAAUUCAUCAAGAUUGUGAAAGACUGAUGAUUUGUUGUAAAUUUGUGUGUAGUUUUGAGUUAUAUGGGCUUCUACUGGAGUGCUGCCAAUCAAAAGUGACCGAGCUGCUCUCGUCGAAUUUGGUAAUGUUGUGUUUGGGUUUAUGUACUUAAGGCCUCGGAUUGUAUGGCUUCAUACAUAGUUCGACACAAUUUGAUAUAUGUAAUUUAAUUCAAAUUUGUACAAAUUCAAAUUGUUUGAACUCCAAAUACAUGUUUGGGAACAUUAAACCGCAGGUGUGGACCUCCCUCUCGAGAAAGCACAGAAAAUUUUUCUUGACCA